ACAUCAGUCAGGUACAUCCUUACUUGUUGUUCUCUUUGAGGACUGCAGCGUAUGAUGAUUGGAAUGGGAUGAAUUCAUGAUUAUUCUCUCUCUUCACAAAGAUUUGCAACAUCUGUGUGAUACCAAUCUGAU